GUUAGAUUUUUUUAAUGAAUACUGUAACUACUGGAAAUUAAAAGUAAAUGUAUCCAAAACCAAAAUAUUAUGUUUUUCAUAUGGAAGAUUACCGGACAAUUUACACUUUGUUUUAGAUGAUCAAGAAAUAGAAAUCGUUCAAGAGUUUAGUUAUUUGGGUAUCUUAUUGACAAAAACGGGAAAUUAUAAAAAGGCGAUUAAAUCACAAGUUGAAAAAGGGACAAAAGCGAUGUAUGAGAUACUAAAAAGGGGGAAAUUUCAUAGCCUAUCAGUUUCUUGUCAGUUAGAUCUUUUUGAUAGAGUAGUAAAACCUGUUCUUUUAUAUGGAUCAGAAAUAUGGGGAUUCAGCAACUGUGAUAUUGUCGAAAAGGUUCAUCUAAAAUUUUGUAAGUUGCUCCUAAAUCUGAAAUCUUCCACUCCAAACUGUAUGAUAUACGGUGAGCUAGGACGUUUUCCACUCUCUAUUGAUGUAAAAUUAAGGAUGAUAUCCUACUGGUCUAAAUUAAUCAUGGGAAAGCAGUCAAAGUAUUCAUGUAUUAUUUAUAAGCUACUGUACCACUUGUAUUGUACUAAACACAUAGAUUUUAAAUGGUUAAUAUGUGUUAAAAAUAUAUUCGAUGAAUGUGGAUUUUCUUAUAUCUGGAACACACAGCUCUUUUUAAAUGAUGUAUGGUUGAAAUAUAAUAUCAAAGUAAGAUUGUGUGAUCAAUUCAAACAAACAUGGAACGAGACUAUUCAAAACUGUUCCAAAGCCUUGAAUUAUCGUAUUUUUAAGAAUUUAUUGUGCUUUGAAGAAUAUUUUAAUAUUUUAGACGAAAAAGAUUUUUUGACAUUAUGUAAAUUUAGAAUAUGUAACCAUAAACUUCCAGUCGAACUUGGAAGAUGGUACAAUAUAGAAAGGGAAAAAAGAAAGUGUAAUUUAUGUAAGCUAGAUAUUGGAGAUGAAUUUCAUUACAUUAUUAAUUGUUCACAUUUUACAGAAGAGAGAAAUAAAUUUAUAAAUCGAAAUUUUAGUAUAAGGCCAAAUAUUAUAGUAUUUACUGAAAUUAUGUCGUCUACAAAUAGGACAGAUCUCAUUAAUUUAUGUAAGUUUAUACGAAUUAUAAACAAGCGAGUGUGUCCUCCUGAAUAAGUUCUUUUUGUCUUUGUUGUUGUUGUUGUAUAUAUUGUAUAUUUAUGUUUAUGUAGUUAAUAUAUUGUAUUAUACAUGCAUGUCUUCUCUGUACCUAUGUAUUUGGUGAUGAGAAUAAAGAUAUAUAUAUAUACAAUUUAAGCUUAUUGCCAAAUGAAAGGAAAGUACAGUAUUAAAAUCACUGGUGAACAUGUGCAUGUAGGUGUGAAUAUACUACAAAAAGAACUGAUAUCAAAGUAAGUCCAUCUUUAGAAUUGCAGUUAAUUUAGAUAAUACAUUGUAAUAUGAUAUAAUCUAUUUAAAACUUUUUAGUUUUAUUGUAAUGUUUUAUAUAAAUCACCGUGUUUCAUUGGUACAGCGGAUAUAGCUACUAACCAAGCUGUAGUGAUCGAUUUUUCUUCUGACAUGGAAUGAAAAUCUCUGUUUUGUUUACUUAAUAUAAAUGUGUACUUCAAUCUAACCAUAAUGGUUGUUUAAGGAAUGAUUUGGUCGUAGGUUGAUGAUAACAUCAGUUUCAUUUUUUUCCAAAAACGAGAAUGCUUACUAAAAAAAUGUGAUUCUAUAUUCAUUGCAACUCUUUUCUGAUAGAAGGCCACUGUCAUGACUGUGUGUGCGUAAUAUGUAUAGCUGUUUGUCACUGUUUCAAUAGUUAGGGCCCCGCCUUUAGGCAGGCCGCCCUAUAGUGAUCAGUCUGUCCGUCCGUCCGUCAGUAACACUUUUUAUACUACUGCAAAAAUUUUAAUUUUUCGUCGUAUAUUGCUAUCACGUUGGCGUCAUCGUCGUCCGAAUACUUUUAGUUUUCGCACUCUAACUUUAGUAAAAGUGAAUAAAAUUUAUCAAAUUUUAACACAAGGUUUAUGACCGCAAAAGGAAGGUUGGGAUUGAUUUUGGGAGUUUUGGUCCCAACAUUUUAGGAAUUAGGGGCCAAAAAGGGGCCCAAAUAAGCAUUAUUCUUGGUUUUCGCACCAUAACUUUAGUAUGAGUAAAUAGAAAUCUAUGAAAUUUAAACACAAGGUAUAUGACCAUUAAAGGAAGGUUGGGUUUGAUUUUGGGAUGUUUGGUCUCAACAGUUUAGGAAUAAGGGGCCCAAAGGGUCCAAAAUUGAACUUUGUUUGAUAUGCCGAAUCUAACUGUUUAUGUAGAUUCUUAAUUUUUGGUCCCGUUUUCAAAUUGGUCUACAUUAAGGUCCAAAGGGUCCAAAAUUAAACUUAGUUUGAUUUUAACAAAAAUUGAAUCCUUGGGGUUCUUUGAUAUACUGAUUCUAAAAAUGCACUUAGAUUUUUGAUUAUUUGCCCAGUUUUCAAGUUGGUCCAAAUCGGGGUCCAAAAUUAAACUUUGUUUGAUUUCAUCAAAAAUUGAAUAAUUGGGGUUCUUUGAUAUGCCAAAUCUAACUGUGUAUGUAUUAUGUCUUAAUUUUUGGUCCCGUUUUCAAAUUGGUCUACAUUAAAGUCCAAAGGGUCCAAAAUUUUCCAUUGCAUACAGUAUUGCGCAAUAGCAAGAAAUCUUCAAUUGCACAGUAUUGUGCAAUAGCAAAUAUUUUCAAUUGCACAGUAUUGCGCAAUAGCAAGAAAUAUCUAAUUGCAAAAUAUUGUGCAAUAGCAAGAAAUUUUCAGUUGGAGUUAUCUUUCUUUGUCCAGAAUAGUAGUUGAAUCAACUAAAAUCAUUGUUUUAUACAAUAUACAAUGUAUAUUCACUUUACUACCAACUGAUAAAUUAAAACAAUCUUUACAAUUCAGUGAUAACAAGCACUUUAUUUUACAUUUUAAUAUUUUAUGAUGUAUUUUAAUGAGUAGUUAUUGUUGCAAACUCCAUUAGGAAUUUGUAUUGAGAUCAGUUUUGGAAAAAGGGAAAGGGGGAUGUGAAAAAAAAAUGGGGGAGGGGGGUUAAAUUUUUCUCAUUUCAGAUUUCAUAAAUAAAAAGAAAAUUUCUUCAAACAUUUUUUUGAGAGGAUUAAUAUUCAACAGAAUAGUGAAUUGCUCAAAGGCAAAAAAAUUAUUUUAAGUUCAUUAGACCACAUUCAUUCUGUGUCACAAACCUAUGCUGUGUCAACUAUUUAAUCACAAUCCAAAUUUAGAGCUGAAUCCAGCUUAAAUGUUGUGUCCAUACUUGCCCCAACUGUUCAGGGUUCAACCUCUGCGGUCGUAUAUAGCUUCGCCCUGGUUUAACUUUGUGUCUGCUCGAUAUCUAGAGAACCAUUAUGAUUUCAUACUUUAUACUUUACCUGUUUAUUAACCACCACCAGAGGGUGUGUCAUGAUGUAUGUACAACUUCCUAGGUCAAAGGUCAAGGUAAAAAAACUUUGGUUUCAGUUGACAACCCUGUGUCCUGUGGUGAAGAUCGUGUCCUCUCUAUAUCUUGAGAACCGUUAUGAUUUCAAAGUUUAUACUUGACAUCCAUUUUAACCAUCACCAGAGGGUGUGUCAUAUUUUAUGUACAACUUCCUAGGUCAAAGGUCAAGGUCAAAAAAACUUUGGUUUCAGUUGACAACCCUGUGUCCUGUGGUGAAGAUCGUGUCCGCUCCAUAUCUAGAUAACCGUUAUGAUUUUAUACUUAAUACUUAAUAUGUUUAUUAAUCAACACCAGAGGUGUGUCAUGAUGUAUGUACAACUUCCUAGGUCAAAGGUCAAGGUCAAAAACUUUGGUUUCAGUUGACAACCCUGUGUCCUGUGGUGAAGAUCGUCUCCGCUCCAUAUCUAGAUAACCGUUAUGAUUUCAAAGUUUAUACUUGACAUCUAUUUUAACCACCACCAGAGGGUGUGUCAUGAUGUAUGUACAACUUCCUAGGUCAAAGGUCAAGGUCAAAAAAAACUUUGGUUUCAGUUGACAACCCUGUGUCCUGUGGUGAAGAUCGUGUCCGCUCUAUAUCUUGAGAACCGUUAUGAUUUCAAAUAUUAUACUUGACAUCCAUUUUAACAAACACCAGAGGGUGUGUCAUGAUGUAUGUACAACUUCCUAGGUCAAAGGUCUGUCUGUCUGUUGGUCUGUCCAUCGCUAACAAAUUUGAUCAACUUAUUUACCCCACGUUAUUGACAGCGGGGCCCACAGAGAUGGCUCCCAUCUCAAUGGUAUCUAGUUUGCAUUGAAAUCUUUCAUACAUAUAUAUGCUAUUUUUUCGAUAUUUUAUUCCGAAAGGAGGGAUGUGUACGGUGUAUAGCUGACCACAUAAAUCCUUGUGUACGGUGCAUAGUUAAAUGCAUGUACGAUAUAAAGCCUUUCACACUUCGAAAUACCUAUAUACCAGCUAUAUUUGGCAUGUUUGGUGUACCGAUGAUACACACUGAUAAUCGAAUAUGUAAACUGUUGCUUCUUUUUACGUCAAUCCGAUUUUAAGUAUGCUUCAAGGCAUUCUUCCCCUGCUCCCCUGAUAUUGCUCCAUAAAAUAUUUGCCACUGGACAUUAGAAUAAGUAAUAAAAAUCAACAUUUUAUUUUUUUUGCAUUAUCAGAAUGUAUUUGCAAACAUAUAACAAUUAAAUUAUGUACAUGUAACCUUGGAACUUUUUCAAUGAACCAGCAUAUAAAUAUGAAGAGAUGAGGUAUGAUCUUCAAUGUGACCAACUAUCAAUUAAAAGACCAUAGGACAAAGAUCAUUAAGAUGUAAACAUUCACUUGUCACUGUACAGCCUUAAACAAUGAUCAAAAUCCAUACCAUAAAGUAACCUAUAAAGAUAAAGAAUGUUAACCAAUGAAAAAAUUAAAACUACAUGUACAUACAGUUAUGGAAGACAGCACCCAACAUAUAUAUAAGAACCUACUCUCAAAAUUAACCAGAAAUGACUAGACUCAUCAGUCAUUGUCAAUAGGUACCCCGGUACUUAAAAAUAAAAUGUGCAAAAAUUUUGUUUUCUCAAACUGAAAUAUCUAUCCUUCGAGGAAUUUAGUGUAAAAACAUUUGUCACUUGAAGCAGUUUAGGGAGAAAGUAUGACUUAUAAUGCCAAAAUAUUGAACUUAUCAGAAGGAUGUUAAACCAUAACAGCGUUAAUGAAUAUAUGUAUUGCUUUUUGCUGAGAUUUUUUUUUUUGGCAAAAGCGAGAGAUAGCGAUUUUAGAUUCUGUCUGUGGUAUGGUCAACAUUUAGGUUUAGUCUAGAUCUGUUUAAAGUUUUUUGGACAUCAAUAACUUUGUCAAACAUACAUGGAUUUUUAUAAAAUUGGAUGACAUGUACUUUGUUUUAUCUGACCAACUUUGUUUUAUCUGACCACUAGAACACACAUAUUAUGUAUUUGUUUUUUCUGCUUAAACCCGUAAUUCAUAAUUUAUUGAAACUUUCCACAUAAUCCCAUUGUGCAUCUCCUUUUUAUGCCCUUGCUGAAGCAGAGGGGCAUUUAAUUUUUGUCUGUCUCUACAUCCUUACAUACUUACAUUGCAAAAUUGGUUUCCAUUCUCUAGUUCUAUUGUUUGCCUCAAUCAAAUGAUGUAAAACUUGUAUACAAUGCCUAUUACCACAAAAUGCAGAUCAAGUUUGAAUUUAAGUGGCAUCCCUUUUACCGUUCUAGAGAAAUGCCCCUUAAAAAUUCCUAAAUUUUUCAUUUCUCAAUCUGCUGAGCUUUCCCCGAGGGUAUCACCAGCCCAGUAGUCAGCACUUUUUUGUGCUGACAUGAAUUAUCAUUGAUAUGGUUAUAUUUAUAAAUUAACUGUUCACAAAAUUUAGAAUUUUUGAAAUACUUAGGCUUUUCUACCUCAGGCAUAGAUUACCUUAGCUUGAUUUAGAAAAACUUUUAGGAAUUUUGGUCCUUAAUGCUCUUCAACUUUGUACUUUAUUAGGCCUUUUUAACUUUUUUGGAUUCAAGCGUCACUGAUGAGUCUUUUGUAGACGAAACGCGCGUCUGGCGUACAUACAAAAUUUAGUCCUUGGUAUCUAUGAUGAGUUUAUUUACUUAAGGUUUGCCUCAACCAAAUGUUAUGAAUCUUAAACACAAUGCUUAUUAGUUAUAGUACAAAUGUAUAACAUCAGAACAAAGAUCACUUUUGGAUUUUGGUGACAUCAUUUUUAUUGUAUAGAGUUAUGCCCCUUUACAAAUGGAAAAAAUGGUGAUUUUUUUAGUUUCCAUUCUCUAACUAAGAGUUUGCCUCUCCUAUAUACAAUAAACAUAGACAUUACGGCAGUUUUUUUAACAUUCUAAAACUAACACGUCCACUUGUAUUUUUGUCCAUCUGAUGAGUUGAGCCUUUUUCAACUGAUUUUUAUAGUUCGUUCUCAUGUUGUACUGUUAUACCACUGUCCCAGGUUAGGGGAAGGGUUGUUUUACAUUGUCAUAUCGGGGCCUUAUAUAGCCAAAUAUUUGGUAUGGGCUUUACUCAUUGUUGAAGGCCGUACAGUGACCAAUAGCAUGUAUAGUUGUUAAUGUCCGUGUCAUUUUGGUCUCUUGUAGAUAUAGACAGUUGUCUCAUUGGCAAUCAUUGUUGUACAUUGUCAUUUCGGGGCCUUUUAUAACUAACUAUGCGGUAUGGGCUUUGCUCAUUGUUAAAGGCCGUACGAUGUGACCCUAUAGUUGUUGUUAAUGUCCGUGUCAUUUUGGUCUCUUGUAGAUAUAGACAGUUGGCAAUCAUACCACAUCUUUUUUUUUAUAUGCGUAUACAUUAUAAGCUGUUUGAGACCUCUUAAGUGAAUUACACUUUUAAUUAUUAUCGAAUUAUUUAAUUUACUUAAGUCAAAUUUAUAUUAUUUAUGAAUAUUUUAUUUCAGUUACCAUUCACAGUGAACAUGGUGAAGAAUAACCAAUAAAGGACAUAGAAGACUACCUCACAAACAUGGAAAAACUUCACAAACAUUGGAAAUAUUACAAGAAAAACCCAAUAUUUUGAUUCACGAAGAAGACAUUCAUGUACAUGUUGUACUUUGAAAACUGAAGAAAUAAAAUUGUGAAUAAAAAU
rnacentral:lncRNA from 1 species